rnacentral:rRNA from 1 species
GACGAACGCUGGCGGCGUGCUUAACACAUGCAAGUCGAGCGGAAAGGCCCUUCGGGGUACUCGAGCGGCGAACGGGUGAGUAACACGUGAGUAACCUGCCCCAGACUUUGGGAUAACCCUCGGAAACGGGGGCUAAUACCGGAUACGACACAGCUUCGCCUUGGGUCUGUGUGGAAAGUUUUUCGGUUUGGGAUGGGCUCGGGGACUAUCAGCUCGAUGGUGGGGUGAUGGCCUACCAAGGCGACGACGGGUAGCCGGCCUGAGAGGGCGACCGGCCACACUGGGACUGCGACACGGCCCGGACUCCGACGGGAGGCAGCGGUGGGGACUAUUGCACAAUGGGCCGAGGCCUGAGGCAGCGACGCCGCGUGAGGGAAGACGGCCUUCGGGUGGGAAACCUCUUUCAGCAGGGACGAAGCGUAAGGGACGGGACCUGCAGAAGAAGCGCCGGCCAACUACGA